UCUUAAGUUCUAGACCCUAAACUUACCCUAAACCUUAACUACAUAUCUCAAACCCUAUAUCUUGAAUUUCAUUUUAUACAUGAAUCUUCUACUUUAAACAUUUUAUUCUAAACACUCAAAUAUCAUACAUAAAUAUUUAACUUAAACAUUAUAAUACAAACCCUACAUAUACCCCUAACCUUACUUAUAAUUCCAAACCCUACACAUACCCCUAACCUUACUUAUAAUUCCAAACCCUAUAUCAUUCCAAACUCUAUACAAGAAUUAUUAAAUCAUAACAUUUUAAAUUUAGAACACUUAUUUCAUACUAAAUGAUGAAACUAUACAAACUAUAAAAUUUAAAUAAAUGAGUAUAAUCAUAAUAUAACUUCAAUCCCUAAACUUCUAACCACAUGUUUCAUAUUGAUCUAUAUCAUAAACAUUAAAUCUAAAUUUUAAAUAUUUUAGUCAAUCACACAAUUUUAAAAUUUAAAUAAAAAAUACUGAUAAAAUACAGAUUAAAAGUUUUAAAUUAUGCUAUCAAAUUAUUUGAAAUUUAAAUAAUUUUACAACAAUUAUAAAGAAAAAAGAAGAUAAUAUUUACUUUUUUCUGAGCCAUUGAUUGAUUUUUCAAUCAAAGGUCCAAAAUCAUUCUUGUACCUAUCCUCGUCCUCUUUUCCUAUUGGUUACUUUGUUUUUGGCAUGAAUUGCACCCUUGGAUGAUAUUGAAUCAACGUUUCAGAUUAAUUGUUCUUUUAUUAUUUUUUUAUUGUUUUGGUGAGAUCUACGACACAGAGAACAAAAGCGAGAGAGAGAGAGGAGAUGGAGUUCGUAGAGGAGAAGAAGAGUAAAAGGAGACCACUACAAUCUCAUCUUCUCCAUCUCUUAAAAUCCUCUGCAGAAAACUCCUUUUCUCAAUCCAUCUAUCCUAAUCAUCAUCGUCUCUCAGUCCCCAUAUCACCUUACUCUCAAACCACCGCUACAAUCCCUCUCGCCGCUUCUCUCUCCGUGCCCAGAACGACAACGUAGCAGACUCUCAUCCAUAUCCUCAGAAAGCUCGCCGGAGAUGAAUAAAGGGGGAAGUCUCAGCCUUUCUUUGCCAUGGACCUCUCCUUAAUCUGAACAGGCUGCCAAGUCCCAAGCCGAGGAAGCUCAAGCCAUGGAAGAAAGCUAGUCGGAGAUGGCAGAGAUCGCAGAGAAAGCUGGCGGCGGUGGUGGUGUAGGUGAAGCCGAACAAGAAGAAGAAGAAGAGAAGAAAGAGACGUAGAAAUUUUAUUAGGUUUUGUUAAAUUUUUUGGUUUAUUAGGGUUGGUUAAUUAGGUUUUCGUUCUUUUUUUGGUUUGAUGUACAAACUGAUUUUAUUGUAAAGAAAUUUUAAUUAAUGAAUAAAAAUUAAAUUUUAAAUUUAAA